GAGAGAAAAAGAAAUACAACACCCAAAACACAAACAAAAGGAAACCAACAGUCAUGGAAGGAAACCAACAGUCAUGGAGGAAACCAACAGUCAACGUUAGAGUAACCAUUUGGGCUUCGAUCAGUUGUUAGGUUCAAAUACAGGGACUUAUAUUUACUAGAAGUAUAGUACAUACAGGUAGUUACUAUGUAUGUUAUAAUUCAGUGUCCAGUGCAUUUGGGUAAGGAGGUGUUGGACUGAUGUAAAUGAAAUAUUAUGACUUCACAAGCACUCCUAUAAAGCUUUCUCCAGAUAACUAAUUUUGCAGCCCUGACGUUUUGUAAUCCAGAGGCUCAUACCCAUCACUUCACUCAGAACCCUUUCAAAGCACAAAUGGUUAGAAUUGCAAAAUUAUUUACUACUAUUGUUGUGAAGAAGGGUUCAGGGUUUGACGGGGCAGGAUGCAGAAGGUGGUAUAAUAGCAUGCCGUUUUACCGAUCGUGCUCUCGGAGGUGGUGGCCGUUUUGUUGUUAGUUUAAGUGUGCUUAGAGAUGGCAGCAGAAUUACAUUCAAAACGGCGGCCAUUUUGUGCCUGAGUAACAAAGUGUUUCAUGGAGGGAUAACCAUAGCAACCGAUAGCAAGAGCAACAAGAGUAACAGGAGGAAUUACGUAUUCGACGGUGGUUGGAGUUGAAUGUGCUCUUUUGAAUAUUUUGUCGCAGUCUAACACAAAUAAUAAUGGUGGAAGAAAAGGUUAAAAAAUUUAAGCUUGAAACUGAAUGUGAAUUAAGAUUUGAAGUGGAAAGUAAAAAUGAAGAAGUGGUUUUAGAGUAUCCAUCUCCAGUUCAGACCUACAGGACUCAUUCAGUGCCAGCAUUUAGUCACACAUUUAUGGAGGGUGCUGUGGUGAAUACCUGGCAACAGCUGUUUUAUGAUCACCUUGUGAACACGUUUGAAGCUAUUCAUUGGUAGUAUGGUUUGAACAAUAAUCUAACUUUGGGACAGUUUGUAGAUGCCCUGAAGACUAACAUCAUCAGUGCACUUGCUGUCAGAGGUCUGUGUGGAACUAGUUGUCAGAAGAUGAUCAGAGUUCAUUCUGCCCUGUAUCUGAAAAUAAUUAUAUUCAGUAAAGAAUUGUGUGGGAAAUUCUUUUCUGACUGAGAUGGCUCUUGUUUAUGUGUGUCGGUAAGAGUGAAGUGGCAUUACUUUAUAAUUGACUUGCAAUCUUCAGGUUACUUGAUUCAGCUUGAAACACUAAGGAGCAGAAUCAAUGUCAGGAUAUAUUUUGUAAUUAAAUUUAUUAACUACUUC